UCUCCAGACUCCUACGGGAGGCAGCAGUGGGGAAUAUUGCACAAUGGGGGAAACCCUGAUGCAGCGACGCCGCGUGAGUGAAGAAGUAAUUCGUUAUGUAAAUCUCUAUCAGCAGGGAAGAAAAUGACGGUACCUGAGUAAGAAGCCCCGGCUAACUACGUGCCAGCAGCCGCGGUAAUACGUAGGGGGCAAGCGUUAUCCGGAUUUACUGGGUGUAAAGGGAGCGUAGACGGCAGUGCAAGUCUGGAGUGAAAGGCGGGGGCUCAACCCCCGGACUGCUCUGGAAACUGUACGGCUGGAGUGCAGGAGAGGUAAGUGGAAUUCCUAGUGUAGCGGUGAAAUGCGUAGAUAUCAGGAGGAACACCGGCGGCGAAGGCGGCCUGCUGGACCGCGACUGACGUUGAGGCUCGAAAGCGUGGGGAGCGAACAGGAUUAGAUACCCCCGUAGU
rnacentral:rRNA from 1 species